AUGGCGGCCCAGGAGGAACAACCGGACUGGUUGAACCUCCCAUCCGAUCUGCUGACGAUCAUCGCGCGGAGGUCCCGCGACGCCGUCACCGGGCUCAUAGCGUUCCGUUCCGUGUGCCGGGCAUGGCGCGCCGCGUCAGGGCCAGCGCCGCGCCUCCUCCUCCCCCGUCCCCGUGCCGCGCGGCUCGUCUUCCCCUUGGCGCGCGGCUGGUCGAUCGUCUUCCAUGUCCACGACACCUCAUGCCACCUCUCGCACCUGGCCACGGGCGCCACGGCGGCGCUGCCCGCUCUCACCGCCUUCCGCGACGCGGGCAGCGACGUGGUCAGGCACGCAAGAUACGUGGACUGCAACGACGUGGACUACCUCGACUUCACGGACUGCCCGCGCUUCGCCGUCCACCUCCCGCCCGGCCCGCCGGCGGCGACCGGCAUGACGGUCAUGAUGUGCCACAUGAUGCACCGGGAGGCGGGCAUGUUCUUCUGCCGCCCCGGAGACCCGGCCUGGACCAAGGUGGGGGAGCCCAACAACAUAGGCCACGGCUACUUCGACUUGGCCUACCACGACGGCAAAAUGUUCGGCAUGCAGCACAACAACUACCAGAUGUCGGUGUUCGACGCUGCCACACUCGGCGCCCUGCAGCUGGUCGGCCGCCCGCCGGCCACCACCAUGUUUGCCAACAAGAUGUACGGCAUCGGCGUUGAGAUGGAAAAGUUCGAUUACGCCCACCUCGUUGCGCUGCCAAGCAAGCUGGUUCUUGUCAGGACCACCGUCAAGUCGGCCCGCCCGGUGGCCUUCACCAUCUUCGAGUUGGUCUUUUGCCCUGAUGGGCAGCUCGCCUGGCGCAAGGUGACCGAUGCUGGUAACUACGAAUUGUUCCUGGAUGGAUAUCACGCCACCUUCAGGGAAAACGACGGCGCCAACGGGAGCGGGACUCGGAUCUACUAUGUUCAUGACACGCCCUCGGCCGGCUGCUACAAAAACAAGCCGAAAUGCGGCACGGCGGCCUACUGCUACAGCGUCGAGGACAACAAGUUGGAAUGCGUCUACAAGUCAUCACCCAAGGACGAUGGUCCUCCCGGCUGCUCAACUAAGCCUAGUUGGUUUAUUCCCUAA
rnacentral:rRNA from 1 species